AAGACAUUGUGUCUUCGAGUCGUUGAUUUCACACUGCCGAGAAAAGCCUCUAGAUAGAAAAUAGGUGCCCGUACCGCAAACCGACACAGGUAGUCAAGAUGAGAAUUCUAAGGUGAGCGAGCGAACUCUCGUUAAGGAACUCGGCAAAAUGACCCCGUAACUUCGGGAGAAGGGGUGCUCUUUAGGGUUAACGCCCAGAAGAGCCGCAGUGAAUAGGCCCAAGCGACUGUUUAUCAAAAACACAGGUCUCUGCUAAACCGUAAGGUGAUGUAUAGGGGCUGACGCCUGCCCGGUGCUGGAAGGUUAAGAGGAGUGGUUAGCUUCUGCGAAGCUACGAAUCGAAGCCCCAGUAAACGGCGGCCGUAACUAUAACGGUCCUAAGGUAGCGAAAUUCCUUGUCGGGUAAGUUCCGACCCGCACGAAAGGCGUAACGAUUUGGGCACUGUCUCAACGAGAGACUCGGUGAAAUCAUAGUACCUGUGAAGAUGCAGGUUACCCGCGACAGGACGGAAAGACCCCGUGGAGCUUUACUGUAG
rnacentral:rRNA from 1 species